UGCCUGGUGGUCGAGUGGCUAAGACUCUACACUCACAAUGCAAUUGGCCCGGGUUUGAUCCCUGGUUAGGGAA
rfam:TPA: Bos taurus chromosome 18, whole genome shotgun sequence.